rnacentral:misc_RNA from 1 species
GUUACAUCACCAACUAUCGUCUAGCCAAGCAACCCUCUUACACACGCGUGCGUGCAUUGCCCCGUGAUUUCCGUCUUCAUUGCACCUUCCCACACACUCCUUGAACAGAGCUGGUGCGUCCUCCGUGGCAUCUGUGCAUCGCUCCCCCUCCCUCCUUCCUCUCAUCUAUACAUCCGAUACCCGUCCGUCUAAUCUUCAGCCAUGAGCGAGGCACGCCAAAUUCAGUCGAUGAUCGACUUCAUUGAGCGCGAGGCUCAAGAAAAGGCCGAGGAGCUCGAGGCGGCGGCGCAGGAGGAGUAUGACGUGGAGAAGAUGCGCCUGGUCGAAGCGGAGAAGGCGAAGAUACGCGCCAUGGCGGAGAAGAAGCUCAAGCAGGUUGAUGUGGACCGCCGUGUGGCUCGUGCCAACUUCUCGAAGGUGCAGCGCAUGCGCGUCAUGGAGGAGCGAGCGAGGACUAUGGAGAAGCUGCACGAGCAGACGCGCCAGAAGAUUGUGGCUAUGGUCAACAACCCGUCCCAGUACAAGCCGAUGCUGGUGCGUCUCAUCCACCAGUCUCUCAUGUCCAUCCGCACGGACGCUGUCGUACAGUGCCGCAAGGAGGACGAGGCCGAGGUCGCGCGCGAGAUUCCGGAGCUGGAGCGGUGGUACAAGGAGAAGACCGGUGCCACCAUCUCGAUCCAGACGAGCAAGACCUACCUCAACACAGCCGAGGCGUGGGGCGGCGUAGUGGUGAAGUCAACCGACGGCCGCGUCGUGUGCAACAACACGUUGUCCUACCGCACCAAGACGUGCUUCGAUGAGCAGCUGCCCACGGUGCGCUUUCACCUCUUCAACCCCGAGGCGCCACUGUAACGGAGGAGGCUGCAAUGAGCGACCCACGCGAGGGAGACGCAGGAAGUGGGGGCGUGCGCGCGACUUCCAUUCGAUAAAGGGAAAAGUGAAGACUCGAAAAGAUAUAGCGAGGAGAGCGUGGCGGAGACAGGGAUUGGGAGGGCGCACUUGCAGGCAGAGCGCAGGUGAGGAGCGCGCCGGUUUGAGGGAAGGGGUUAGUGAAGAACGGAGGGAGCCUGAAGCCGACGGGAUUGGUUGUGCUUCUCCUGCACCUCCAAACCACUCUGAAGAGCUGUCUGUUCCCUCCCAAUG